UGGGGAAUAUUGCACAAUGGGGGAAACCCUGAUGCAGCCAUGCCGCGUGUAUGAAGAAGGCCUUCGGGUUGUAAAGUACUUUCAGCGAGGAGGAAGGCAUUGUGGUUAAUAACCGCAGUGAUUGACGUUACUCGCAGAAGAAGCACCGGCUAACUCCGUGCCAGCAGCCGCGGUAAUACGGAGGGUGCAAGCGUUAAUCGGAAUUACUGGGCGUAAAGCGCACGCAGGCGGAUUGACGAGUCGGAUGUGAAAUCCCCGGGCUCAGCCUGGGAACUGCAUUCGAAACUGGCAAGCUAGAGUCUUGUAGAGGGGGGUAGAAUUCCAGGUGUAGCGGUGAAAUGCGUAGAGAUCUGGAGGAAUACCGGUGGCGAAGGCGGCCCCCUGGACAAAGACUGACGCUCAGGUGCGAAAGCGUGGGGAGCAAACA
rnacentral:rRNA from 1 species